GAUAACGGUGAUGAGUAUACUACAGACCUGUAAUGACUCCUGCGGAAAUGAUCGCAUGGUCAAAGAACAUCUAAGGGGCUGAGUUGUC